GACGAACGCUGGCGGCGUGCUUAACACAUACAAGUCGAACGGUGAAGCGCCUUCCUUUUUGGUGGGUGUGGAUGAGUGGCGAACGGGUGAGUAACACGUGAGUAACCUGCCCCCUUCUUCUGGAUAACCGCAUGAAAGUGUGGCUAAUACGGGAUAUUCUGGGUCUGUCGCAUGAUGGGUCUGGGAAAGAUAUUGUUUCGGUGGGGGAUGGGCUCGCGGCCUAUCAGCUUGUUGGUGGGGUGAUGGCCUACCAAGGCGGUGACGGGUAGCCGGCCUGAGAGGGUGGACGGUCACACUGGGACUGAGGCACGGCCCAGACUCCUACGGGAGGCAGCAGUGGGGAAUAUUGCACAAUGGGCGCAAGCCUGAUGCAGCGACGCCGCGUGAGGGAUGGAGGCCUUCGGGUUGUGAACCUCUUUCGCCAGUGAAGCAGGCCUGCCUCGUUUGUGGGUGGGUUGACGGUAGCUGGAUAAGAAGCGCCGGCUAACUACGUG
rnacentral:rRNA from 1 species